GUUCUCCCUGAGACUUWRRGUCUCCUGAAGGAACGUUGAAGACGACGACGUUGAUAGGCCGGGUGUGUAAGCGCAGCGAUGCGUUGAGCUAACCGGUACUAAUGAACCGUGAGGCUUAACCUUACAACGCCGAAG
rnacentral:rRNA from 1 species